UAAAUGAUUAUCAGCCAAGAAUAAUAUGUAAUUUAAAAAUGCAUUUUAAUUUCCUUAUUGGUCAAAAUGUCAAAGACUGCUAAACUAAUCUUACUGUUUUUCCCUGCGAUCUUUUUCAUUUACCUGUUCAAUAUAAACUCUGUCCAGAUCUAUCAGUCCUCCAUCCAGCUGGUAACUCUUAAUACACAUCAGCAUGUCCAAAUGAUCUACUUGUAAACAAUUCUGCAGUUUGUUUUUUAGAGUGUUCAUUAAGCUAACGCCGUGCUCACAGUCUGCACUUGAUGCUAGGAAUGUUCCUCCAAUAUCAAUCAACUUUGCAAGAUCCUGAAACUGCUCGUUCUGGUGAGCAAAUGUCACCAUAUCCAGGAAACUUAAAACCAAUUGGCUUUUGAGUCUUUCGGCUACUACAAACUUGAAGUCGUUGUAUUGACUGACUAUAACAAUCUCUUCAGCAAGAAAGUCUUUGUAUUUUGAACAUAGGGAUUUGACCUGAUGAAUUCCAAAAUUUGAAGUCACACUUAACUAUUGCUUCACGAUCAAAAGCGGACCACUCCUGGACUUCAUCCUCUGGAAACCUGUCUGCCAAAUGUGCACACAAGAUGUUUAUGAAAGUUAUUAUAGAAAUUGGUAUAGAAUUGGUAUCGAUUUUCAUUAUUUUCUUGAGAGCUCAUAUCUAAGAGAGCCUUAACUUUGUCACUCCAUAAGACUGAAUCUCCAAGGUACUGUCUUCUGACAUUGUUCAGUUUACCUCGGGCAAGGUGAAAUGCUUCAAGAGGUGUAAGGCCCCGUUUCUGGAGCUGUGUGGAUAGUGAAGUCAGCUCUGACAAAGCAUCAUUCAAAACUUCUAAUGUUAUUCGGUAUUCCAUAGUAUUCAGCUUUUUGUGGCAGUAUUUAGAAACUGGAUCAGUAUCUUUAUCUUGCCCAAAAUAUUCCAGAAGAGGAUUAUAGUUGCGAAUAAUUGCUUGAAGUGCAACGUGCCUAGAUAACCAGCGCACUUCAUUGAGUGGCCUGAAAGCCACUGACUCGCAUUCAGAAGCAUCCACUAUUUUCUGAAAUUUGUAUUUUCUCCUGGAUGACCAACAGAACGCCAUGUAGACAGUUCUCAUUAAGGUUUCGAUUGUCUCUUAUCAGAUUGACCUCUUUCCAUGCAUCGGAAAUCCCCAAGUCUUCCUGGUGUGCAACGUAAUGUUGCUGGACUAAGUGUGGAAUAUCCUGUUUCAGCUGAGCCGCCACAUCACUGAGUUUACCCAACAUCACAGAGGCACCAUCAGAUGUGAACAUCACCAUUUUCAUUAGAUCAAGUUGGUGUUUUUUAUAAAACUCUUUGAUUGCAGACACUAUUGAAACAGCAUCACAUUCUUGCAAUCUUAAUAGUCCACCAAACAAAGUUUUAUAAUCUGCAGAAUUUAUGGAUCUAUAUUUAAAGUAGAGUAUCAAAUAUCUGUGAAUGGAUAUAUCAGUGCUUUCAUCAACAGCUACAGUAGGAAACGUUGCCGUUGCUAUUUCACGCAUAAGGUCAUUUUGGACAAUGCAGUUGAUGAUUUCAAGAAAUUCAAAAACGUGAUUUUUACUUCUCCAGCUCGCUGGUCUGUGCACAUUCUUUUCCAUAUUGUCAUUAAUAUCCUGAACAGAAAGCACUGAGCUGUGCAUUUUAAUAGCCAACAACACAUUGUCAAUAAGUACCUUGAUUUCUUCUGGGUUUGAGUGCUUGCGUUCAAGAUUAAUUUGCCUCCUCUGCUUUUCAGCUGGACUUUCAAGAAUCAUGGAAACCAUUCCAUUCCGUAAGGAAGGGUUUUUGUUUCUAAGUCUUGUUACACCAUCUAUAUGUGACUUAUUUGACAGAUGAUGCUUUAAGAAAUCCAACAUCCAUACAUCGUUCCACAUUCUUCCUGUUGAAAAUUUUCCCGGAGCUCUGGCAUCUCAACAAUAUAAACAAACCACUCCGUUGUCCUCCUCAUAUGUGAAUAUUUCACGAAGUUUAAUAGGCAUUACACUAUGUGACUUUGGUGUAACUGUCUCUAUAGUCUCAUCCAACCAUCCAGAUUUAAAUGAAGUCGCUGUUCUUUCACGCUUUAGACCUCUAGACAGUGACAUUUUGGGACUGAUUUUUUUUACCAAAUUGGUUCAUAUAAAAUUAAUACUUUUUAUUAUAUGGCUACUAUUUCAAUGCGCUUAAUAGCGUGACUCGACAAAAGGUCAAACGGGAGAUCAUUCCGAUCAGGAUACCGGAAGUUUGUGCAUAGCUCCGAUCACGUCCAUCUCUCUGUGGCAAAAAAACGACGGGAAAAUGGUAAAACAUCACAAGUAAAUGGAUGAAGUCCAAUGCCUUUGAAAAAUUUCAAUCACGAAAAAAACGCUUACCUUUGUUCAUUUCUGGGAACUCUUUGCAGUUCCUUAGCAACUACCGCCAGGCAUUUUGACUUAUUCGCAUGUGCUUGAGUUUGUACACAGCCAAAUGAACAGACUACAAGGAGAUGUGUGGGUCUCCUCCUCCCGACCGUCCCGACAUGAUCAACGUUCCACGUUCAAAAUGCUGGCGGGGAGGGGAAUUCGGAAGUGCCUGAAGACGUGCAUGACACGAUCGCUGAAAUCAGCUCCUGUCGAUAAUUGUUUUAAAAAUUCUAAAUAAUGCCCUGAUCUAAAAGUUGAAUUUUUGAUGUUGUGUUGAAUGGUAGGUAUAGCACUCACAUUUUUCCAUCGCUCGAUACCAGUGAUUCGGCUGGAAGAUGGGCUGAACAAUUGUCAAGUAGCAAAAGUGCUUUGGCUUUGAGUUUCUUCGACCACAGAUGCUUACGAACAGCUGAAACAAAGCUGUUGUGGAACCAGUUGUUGAAAAUGUCUUGUCAUCCAAGCAUUUUUGCUCUUCGUGUAUAUUACUGGCAGUUUGGCUCUACUGAGGUGAUUAAAGCAGCGAGGGUUAUGAAAGUGGCCAACGAGAAGAGGGGAGGGGCAAGCUUUUGGCUGCCUGUCUUAUUACUACAAAAAAAGUCACAUGAUCUUUUAUCUUUUUAAAUCCAGCUGUUUUCUGUCUGUCGUAAUUAAAAGCUAAAGUCUUAUCAGAUAGCAGUUUUGCAAAUAAAGCUGUUUCAUCACAAUUA